rnacentral:lncRNA from 1 species
GGAUGAACCACUGGGGGCUCCAGGGAGGAAACACGCAUUCAUUCCUCUGGACAUGGCGAAGCACUUCUCUGAGAGUGGGACUUUCCAAAGUCCACCUCCCCGUCCUGAGACCAGGGAGACACCCUCCAUGAGCACCUCCUCCCUGGGGACCACAAAGGAGAGGAGCUGCAAGUGUGUAGCUGUCAUUUUUCACUCCGUUCCCAAGACUCCUUCCAAGGGCAGAUUUGUAAAUGACUCGAAGGUGGUGGAAACUGACCCUAUGCCACAGUCUUUCAUUUCCUGACAAACCUUCAUAAAAACAAAUGCGAUCGGCAGGGUGCUCCCGGAGACCACGCCCACUGGGAUGGCCAUGUCAGCAGCAGAGUGACCUAGGGAAUGUGGAGAAAGUAGCAGAGUCCAAGGCACCGGCUAUGUCUUCAGCUCAGUAACAGUCCAUAGUGGGCCUCCGUAAAUGACCACUGACUUGGGGUUUCCUCCCUGUGUUGCCCACAAGGCUAUGAACUUCCUAAGAAAUUUCCUGCCCUUGCCCUCUAGAGAGCUUACUUUACAGUCAAAAGUGACCCUGGACAAGGACGUCACUCAGGUCACCACUGACUGAAGGGUGUGAAAUUGGUUAUCUGGGCAGUCCCAGGACCACAAAGCAAAAUGAAUGUCCCACACAAGCUACUUUGUUAAAAUGGCCACUACGGCCACCUGGAAACGGUUAGCCCUGAGCACUCCGAAGGCAAACUGACCAUUUCUGUGAGUUUUAAAUUACAUUGAAGGAUAAACAGGAAAGCUGGCAUUCAUAUUUCCGACUAUAUAAAAACAGAAUCCUCAUUAUGUCGUUAGAUCUGGAUGUUUGGCCUGAAUCUUAGCAACUUCUUGCACAAUCUAUGCUCAGAUCUGACCUGGUGGCACCCUCUUGCACCUCCUCCCUCCACAACUCUUCACCGCCCCCCCCACACACACACACACUCCACACUCUAAAAAGCCUCUACUGACGACAGCCUCUUUAAUAAUGCAGUGUUGAGCAGAGGGCUAGAAAAUUGUUAUCUUGUUAUUUUUUGCCAGAACCCAAGUGACAGGAGAAAAUAUUUUUCAGCCCUCACAUCCUUGAGAUGCUAAAGCUUGAUUUGCAAUUAGCUUGGUACUGAAUAUAAGCAUGAGAUGGAACAGCACUGCAGCAAGACCCAGGCUGCCACUGGGCAAAACCGUAAAUAGUGCACUUAUUUAAGAUGAUUUGAAUGCAAGACAAAAGGCACCUUGGAAAUAACUGUCCAGCUAAUGAAAAUGCAUUCCUGAGUGGCUAGACCUGAAUUUAAU